rnacentral:rRNA from 1 species
CCUGGAUUCCAAUUCCCAAAAUGCCCUUGAUUCCUGAAAUUUUAAAUUUUGGAGAUGGGAUGGGGACUGUGGGAUUAGAGGUGAAAUUUUUAAAUUUUUCCAAGAUCCCCAGAGCGACAGUGGGGACGCGGGCCCGAUACUGCCGUUGGGCCCCGAAGCGUGGGGAGCAAACGAGAUUAGAUGCCUUGAUAGUCCACGCAGUCAACGAUGUAUGCCAGCAAUUACAGGGUUUACUCAGUAGUGGCGCAGGUAACGCUAUAAGCAUUUCUCAUCAGUAGUACGGUCGCAAGAGUUAACCUCAAAGGAAUCGACGGGGAUUCGCACAAGCGGCGCAGCAUGUGGUUUAAUUGGUCUCAUUGCGCAGAACGUUCACAGCCCUUGACAUCCCGGUCGUCGGAGUCCAGAGAUGCAGUUAUUCAGUUCGUCAGGUCGGGAGACAGGAGACACAUGGCGCUUGUCAGUUGUCAUCUUGAGUUGUGAGAUUAAGUGUUAAAUCGAGCAGCGAGCGCAGUCCUUAUCUUUAGUCAUUUACAUGUACAUUAUCACUAUAAGGAGGCUUGAUAAGAUAAGACGAGAGGAAGGAGGGGAUGAAGUCAUCUUGUCAUGGCCCUUACGGGCUGGCAUACACACGUCAUACAAUGGCGGAGUCAAUGGGAAAGUAAGGGGCGAUCCUUCGCAAAUAUCAAAAAGUCGUAUCAGUUCGGAUUGGGCUCUGCAACUCGAGCCCAUGAAGUUGGAAUCUAUUGUAAUCGUGGAUCAGCACGCCACGGUGAAUACGUUCCCGGGCCUUGUACACACCGCCCGUCACACCAUGGGAGUUGGUUUUACCUGAAGACGGUGCGCUAACCGAAAGGGGGGCAGCCGGCCACGGUAGGGUCAGCGACUGGGGUGAAGUCGUAACAAGGUAGCCGUAGGGGAACCUGCGGCUGGAUCACCUCCUUUAAGGGGAUCCCGGGG